rnacentral:tRNA from 1 species
CACUGAGAAGCUAAACUGGGAAUAGCGUUAGCCUUUUAAGCUAAAAACUGGUGACCCCCUAUCACCCUUGGUGA